UGAUGGUGACCAUUAACAACGAAGGUUACAAGUUCUGUAAGAUCCGUGUACGCACUGUGAAGACUCCUCAGAUUGGGGACAAGUUCGCCAGUCGUCACGGACAGAAAGGAACUUGUGGAAUUACUUACAGACAAAAGGACAUGAUGUUUACUGUUGAAGGCAUCAGUCCCGACAUAAUCAUCAACCCUCAUGCCGUCCCGUCUCGUAUGACCAUUGGUCACUUGAUCGAGUGCCUGCAGGGCAAGGUUGCUGCUAACAAGGGUGAGAUUGGUGAUGCUACACCUUUCAACGACACUGUGAACAUCCAGAAAAUCUCAAACCUCUUGCAUCAAUACGGAUACCACCAGAGAGGAAACGAAUUUUUAUCACCUGAUAUUACCAAUAAAAGUGGAUCGUGAUAUGGUUGUGGUGGAUUUCUCGGUGGAAUGAGAACAUGGUGGAUUCUCAGUGGAAUGAGAACAUGGUGGAUUCUCAGUGGAAUGAAAACAUGGUGGAUUUCUCGGUGGAAUGAGAACAUGGUGGAUUUCUCAGUGGAAUGAGAACAUGGUGAAUUUCUCAGUGGAAUGAGAACAUGUGAUGGUGGACUGCAUUUUGGAGAGAUGGAGCGGGACUGUCAGAUUGCCCAUGGAGCCACUCAGUUUCUGCGAGAACGUUUGUUUGAAGCAUCCAACCCAUACCGGGUCCAUGUGUGUAACAUCUGUGGACUGAUCGCCAUUGCUAACUUGAGAAACCAGACAUUUGAAUGUCGGAUGUAAAAACAAAACACAGAUUUCACAAGUACGGAUGCCAUACGCUUGCAAGUUGCUGUUUCAGGAGCUUAUGUCCAUGAGCAUAGCUCCCAGAAUGCUCGUCAGUUGAGGCAGCAAGACGGACAAACAUUGUGUGAAAAAAAUAACAGCUUUAUUGAGUAAUCAGAGAAGAGAAACGCCCCAGUUUUAGAAGAAAGCUAAAGACUUAUCAUCGACAUUGAUGGGUGAACACAUUCCAAAUUGAAGUGUGAGGAUGAACGCACCAAUAGCUAUCUUAAGAUGACUGGAUGGCAUACAAGGGUGCUAUGCGACAAACUCAUCCAUCUGAAAGAACCCAUUGCAUACCUGUUGGUGUAAUUCUGUAUGUUGUUCAUAGUUGUGUGUGACAUUCAUUCAGAUAAUACCAUCAGUUUGUGGUAAAAAUGAGAUAAACACAAGAUGAUACUUCAGAGCUGCCAUAAGCACAGUUGUGUGAUGUACAGUGAAUAAUAAGACCGACUUCUGUUCACAAGAAUCCCUAUACUUAACAGGACUAGAUGUUUAUACUGUCCAUCAGCAAAUAGGACACUUGUAAAUACAGUAAGAUGGUUAUUAUGUCUAGUCCCAAGUUACCGUAUUAUGUCGGAGUUUGGUAUUAUCAGUUAUACCAACUGAAAUUGUAAAAAAUGCAGUGUAUUUAUAUCUACAGAAUGUACACUCCAUGACGACUUUCUCAGUGCAAGUAGCUUUUGAUUCUAUUAAUUAUUUUAUACUUGAUCAGAUCUGUAGUACAACAGAUGAUGGUACUGGUAAGGAAAUAAAACCCAGUUGCACAAGCACAAGUUUUAAUAUUAAAAUAGUUCAGUAAUACAUGUUUUUUUAAUGAACUUCCAUGCUCAAAAUAAAAGAAAAUGAACUACAGAAUUUAGAUGUCUAAUAACAAUUCUCAAUUUUGUGUUCAUACAGGAGUCAUUACAACAGGUUUUUGAAAUUAAAUUGUCACAUUUAAAAAAAAAUUGUAUUGAAGUACAAAAAAUGUAAAGCAAAUCUUCCUUCUAAAUACUGUGACAUUAGUUACCCAAAAGGAACAUCACAAAUAAUACUUAGUAUAGCGUUUACAACAGAUGCAAAACAAAAUUACUAUUGUAAAUUUAGAUCUUAUGCUGUAACAUAUGUUCAUGUGUACAUAAUUUAUUCUAUUUUGUACAGUUCAUUCAAUAAAAGAAAUUCAAAACAUGUUGUCAUUCUACUUUUCACUUUGUAAAAAUUCUUGUAUAUACUGUUUUUGAGCUAUGCAGUACUCUGAUGGGUUAAAGUUUGUUGUGGUAAUUUUUACAGUCAGAGAGGAAACCCUCUACAUUUUUCCAUUAGUAGCGAGGGAUUUUUUUAUAUGCACCAACCCACAAACAGGAUAGUACAUACCAC
rnacentral:lncRNA from 1 species